rnacentral:rRNA from 1 species
UUGGAGGGCAAGUCUGGUGCCAGCAGCCGCGGUAAUUCCAGCUCCGAUAGCGUAUAUUAAAGUUGUUGCAGUUAAAAAGCUCGUAGUUGAAUUUCGGGGUUCUACCGUUGGUCGGGCUAACCAGUCUGUACUAGCGUGUAAAAUUCCUACCUUCUGGAGAACCAUCAUGUUAUUAAUUUAGCGUGGUGGGAAACCAGGACCUUUACCUUGAAAAAAUUAGAGUGUUCAAAGCAGGCUUACGUCUGAAUACAUUAGCAUGGAAUAAUAGAAUAGGACGGUGGUCCUGUUUUGUUGGUUUCUGAAUCACCGUAAUGAUUAAUAGGGAUAGUUGGGGGCAUUAGUAUUCAAUUGUCAGAGGUGAAAUUCUUGGAUUUAUUGAAGACUAACUUCUGCGAAAGCAUUUGCCAAGGAUGUUUUCAUUAAUCAAGAACGAAAGUUAGGGGAUCGAAGACGAUCAGAUACCGUCGUAGUCUUAACCAUAAACUAUGCCGACUAGGGAUCGGACGAUGUUAAAUUUUAUUGACUCGUUCGGCGCCUUACGGGAAAC